rnacentral:rRNA from 1 species
UUGACCUCGAAUCAGGUAGGAAUACCCGCUGAACUUAAGCAUAUCAAUAAGCGGAGGAAAAGAAACCAACCGGGAUUACCUCAGUAACGGCGAGUGAAGCGGCAAGGAAGU